rnacentral:rRNA from 1 species
UUAAACCAGGGWUAGAUACCCUGUUAUACCAUAACUAAAAUGAGAAAGUCUUGAAUAAUAACAAUUAAUUAGUUUGAAACUUAAAGGGGUUGGCGGUAUUUUAGUCCAGCUGGAGGAACCUGUUUUAUAAACGACACACCACGUAAGAUCUCUCUUGUUCUGGGUUUAAGUUAGUAUACCGUCAUUGUUAGGUAACUUUAUCUAGUUAAAAAGUUAUUGCAAUUAAAUAGCAUUUAAAUAUAUUAGAUCAUGGUGCUGCUAAUGGACAAGUUAAAAUGGGUUACAAUAAAAUUAAUUUAUACGAAUUUAUAAAUGAAAUUUAAUGAUGAAGGAGGAUUCAAUAGUAAUAUGGGGUUAAUAAGUCUGUAUGAGAUUGGCUCUAAAAUAUGUACAUAUCCACCGUCGCAA